GUCUUGCAUACAAAAACCGUGGUUACGAAAGCAAGUGGAACGCAUUUACAGUUUGAGUGCAAUAAACAUGUCGACAAUAUGUCAGUGCUUUCAAAGAAAUUCUAAGAAUAGUCUAUCUGAUAUAAUGGUUAAAGGACCGAAGCUAUAGAGGACAACAGUUUCAGAACCAAAUUUUGUCGGUGUUCGCAAUUAUUCAUAAACAAUAUUUAUAUAAUAAUCAGAGUGUUUGUACUGGAAUUUAAUUUCUAACAAUAAACCCUUUGAGGUUGGUGAAUAGUUAUAUCAAAAAGACUUUGGACAAUAUUGUGCAGGUGGUCAUUAAAAUCGGACCUACCAUAGAUCCGCAACCAAUAAGGAAACGGUUACUGCCAAGUUAGAGUUUAGCGGAAUGUAAUUAACUUUGGAAUACUAAAACAGAAGACCGGUGUUUAACCACAAGAUUGCUUUAAGAACUAGUGAAUGAAAUAUCAGUAGUGUGAAACCGACACGCGUAUAACCGGCCCAUAUGUGAAUUAACGUUAUAUUGAUAUCGAAGCGUAACUGUAGUGUUUGUCGCUGUUCGUGUUGAACUACUACCGUUGGUGUCUAGUUCAGCUAUGCCGUGUUACACAGCGAGAGAGUAACGUGGUAUAAGUCUACAUUGUAGGUUAUUUUAUAAGGGUGAUACAUAACUAACAGGACAUGUGCAUAGAAUUUAUAACGUGACGCUUUAUGCACCCAUUAUGUUCGUGUCCAACAUAAUUACACCUGUACAGUUACUCAAACUAUAAAAAAAGUUGUUAUAGACAUUGGAUUACGGAUUAGUGUACAUCUUAUAUCAUGGACUAGUUUAUUUUUUGCUUGUUAAAAAUGUGCAUAGGUUAUCUUAGAACUUAACGCUUUAUGCAUGCAUUACUUUGUUAAAAAGGGGUCGUAUGAAAGAAGUGGUAUUUUUGAAUGCUAGACGCGAGCCGUGUUUUAUAGACUACCGAUACUCCUCCGAUGUUUAAUAGUGCAGAACAUACUUUUAGAAGCGGAGUGCCACAAGCAGCAACCUUAGCAAUUAUUAGAUUGUAAUUCUCAAUAACAGAAUUAUCGGAAGUUUAAAAGCAGUGUGAUUUGUGAUUCAGUGAUUAUACAUCAAUAUUUAAAAGUGAGCGGAAAUUUGUCGUCAUAACUGGGAUAUUUCUCCAUGAAGCAGUGUACAAUAAUGACGUUAAUGUUUAGCAGGCUUGGUUAAAUACUCCUAUUAUUAACCAACUAAUAAUCACAUCAUUUCAGAUAAGAUUUUAACCAAACAAUGAAGAAAAGGAAAUAGACUCAGAGCAAGCCUUUUAACGAACGCGAAUAUGAAAAGUUGACGGAAAAAAUGAAUCGAUAAUCAUGCACGGAUAUAAAUGUUGUUAAAGAAGUUAAAUUCUAUAGAAUGUAAUAUGUUUUAUUAACGGGAAGUUUUUAUGUGCCGGUGAUAAAAUCUGAUAAAUCACGGUGAUAAAUAGAAAUUGUGUGAUUUUAUUUUAAGUGAAACGAAUAGUGUGUGCUGUUUUAUUGUGUGUAAUUAUAUGAAAUGGAUGAACAACACAAUAAGAACACUAUGUGAUGGAUUAUUGGAUUAGUACGGAUUAAGAGGAUCAACAUGAUUAGGAUAAUUUUUCUGAUUUUACACGUACUUCUCAUGUUUAAAACGUGGCCAGAAGUUGAAGGUGGCAAAUCCAGAAAGCGACAGUUGAAACCUAGUUUUGUGUCUGAAGUAACCAAUAUCACUGUACACGUUGGUGAGGAGGCUGUUUUACCUUGUACAAUACAUUACGUGGGAACCAGACAGGUAUCAUGGAAGAAGAUGGGAGAUGAUUUCUUUUUGACAAUAGGAGAUAUCACGUGGACCCGCACUGAUGAGAUUAGUGUAGAGCAUGAACAACAUGCUGAUGAAGUUAGCGACUGGCAUCUCGUGAUUAAAUCUGUCAGUUUUAAAGAUGCUGGUAUUUAUGAAUGUUCUAUUAUAGCCAAGAUGAAACAAACACACCAAAUCACUUUAAAUGUGUUAGAAGAAAGAGAGAAAAAAGAAGG